rnacentral:rRNA from 1 species
AUUGAACGCUGGCGGCAGGCCUAACACAUGCAAGUCGAACGAGUGGCGGACGGGUGAGUAAUGUCUGGGAAACUGACUGAUGGAGGGGGAUAACUACUGGAAACGGUAGCUAAUACCGCAUACCCUCGGAUGUGCCCAGAUGGGAUUAGCUAGUAGGUGGGGUAAAGGCUCACCUAGGCGACGCUCCCUAGUUGGUCUGAGAGUAUGACCAGCCACACUGGAAUUGGUACACGGUCCAGAUUCCGACGGGAGGCAGCAGUGGGGAAGAUUGCACAAUGGGCGCAAGCCUGAUGCAGCCAUGCCGCGUGUAUGAAGAAGGCCUUAGGGUUGUAAAGUACUUUCAGCGGGGAGGCGUUACCCGCAGAAGAAGCACCGGCUAACUCCGUGCCAGCAGCCGCGGUAUUAC